rnacentral:rRNA from 1 species
UAUGUAGGCGGACUGGCGUGCGUCUUGUGAAAUCCCCCGGCUUAACCGGGGAAUUGCUGGACGAACUACCAGCCUUGAGGCAAGUAGGGGUGCGCGGAACUCUUGGUGGAGCGGUGGAAUGCGUAGAUAUCAAGAGGAACGCCGGCGGUGAAGACGGCGCACUAGGCUUGUUCUGACGCUGAGACACGAAAGCGUGGGGAGCAAACAGGAUUAGAUACCCUGGUAGUCCACGCCCUAAACUAUGUCUACUAGGUUGCGGGUAUCGACCCCUGCAGUGCCGUAGCUAACGCAUUAAGUGACCCGCCUGGGGAGUACGGCCGCAAGGUUGAA